UUUCAAGUCCGAUGCUAAAGACUGGGGCUCAACCCCAGGGGUGCGUUGGAUACUGUGAGGCUAGACGGUCGGAGGGGGUAGCGGAAUUUCCGGAGUAGCGGUGAAAUGCGCAGAUACCGGAAGGAACGCCAAUAGCGAAGGCAGCUACCUGGACGACUUGUGACGCUGAGGCGCGAAAGCGUGGGGAGCAAACCGGAUUAGAUACCCGGGUAGUCCACGCCCUAAACCAUGAGUGCUGGGUGUCCGGCUUCUGCUGGGUGCCGUAGCUAACGCGCUAAGCACUCCGCCUGGGAAGUACGCACGCAAGUGUGAAACUCAAAGGAAUUGACGGGGGCCCGCACAAGCGGUGGAGCAUGUGGUUUAAUUCGAAGCGACGCGAAGAACCUUACCAGGCCUUGACAUGCCCGGAACCCCUCUGAAAGGAGGGGGUGCCCGCAAGGGAGCCGGGACACAGGUGCUGCAUGGCCGUCGUCAGCUCGUGUCGUGAGAUGUUGGGUUAAGUCCCGCAACGAGCGCAACCCCUAUCCCUAGUUGCCAGCAGUUCGGCUGGGCACUCUAUGGAGACUGCCUGCGAAAGCAGGAGGAAGGCGGGGAUGACGUCUGGUCCGCAUGGCCCUUACGGCCUGGGCGACACACGUGCUACAAUGCCAAGGACAGAGCGCUGCUACCUCGCGAGAGGACGCCAAUCGCAAAAACCUUGGCUCAGUUCGGAUUGGAGUCUGCAACUCGACUCCAUGAAGCCG
rnacentral:rRNA from 1 species